UACGGAGGGAGCUAGCGUUGUUCGGAAUUACUGGGCGUAAAGCGCACGUAGGCGGCUAUUCAAGUCGGGGGUGAAAGCCCGGGGCUCAACCCCGGGACUGCGUCCGAUACUUCCGAGCUGGAGGUAGGUAGGGGAGAUCGGAAUUCCUGGUGUAGCGGUGAAAUGCGCAGAUAUCAGGAGGAACACCGGUGGCGAAGGCGGAUCUCUGGGCCUUACCUGACGCUGAGGCGCGAAAGCUAGGGGAGCGAACAGG
rnacentral:rRNA from 1 species